UACAGAGGUCUCAAGCGUUGUUCGGAUUCAUUGGGCGUAAAGGGUGCGUAGGCGGCGCGGUAAGUCGGGUGUGAAAUCUCGGGGGCUUAACUCCGAAACUGCAUUCGAUACUACCGUGCUUGAGGACUGGAGAGGAGACUGGAAUUUACGGUGUAGCGGUGAAAAUGCGUAGAUAUCGUAAGGAAGACCAGUGGCGAAGGCGGGGUCUCUGGACAGUUCCUGACGCUGAGGCACGAAGGCCCAGGGGGAGCAAAACGGGG
rnacentral:rRNA from 1 species